rnacentral:rRNA from 1 species
GAUGAACGCUGGCGGCGUGCUUAACACAUGCAAGUCGAACGGAAAGGCUCCUGCUUGCAGGGGUACUCGAGUGGCGAACGGGUGAGUAACACGUGGGUGAUCUGCCCUGCACUUCGGGAUAAGCCUGGGAAACUGGGUCUAAUACCGGAUAGGACGAUGGUUUGGAUGCCAUUGUGGAAAGUUUUUCGGUGUGGGAUGAGCUCGCGGCCUAUCAGCUUGUUGGUGGGUUAAUGGCUUACCAAGGCGUCGACGGGUAGCCGGCCUGAGAGGGUGUACGGCCACAUUGGGACUGAGAUACGGCGCAGACUCCUACGGGAGGCAGCAGUGGGGAAUAUUGCACAAUGGGCGCAAGCCUGAGGCAGCGACGCCGCGUGGGGGAUGACGGCCUUCGGGUUGUAAACUGCUGUCGCUAGGGACGAAGCGCAAGUGACGGUACCUGGAGAAGAAGCACCGGCUAACUACGUG